GGGGCCGUAAGGGUCGCGAAGUGGGGUAUGAACCGUCGGUAAUAGCCAGCUAUGCCCAGGAACUGCCGUACCUGUCUUUUGGUAGUCGGCUGCCGGCACGCUUGGAGUGCUUGAACCUUCCCGAUGAGGGGCCGCACCAGCCCCCGGCCUAAGGUGUAGCCCAGGUACGUAGUUUCUUCUCGUCCGAUUUGGCACUUCUUGGGGUUGGCUGUAAGUCCGGCGGCGCGAAGGUCGCGGAGGACAGCCGCUACCUGGUUGAGAUGGCCCUCCCAGUCGCUGCCGUAGAUGACUACAUCAUCGAGCAAGCAAUGUAACCAAAGUAGCCUCGCUGGCACUGCCCUGUGAUGGAGAAGAGAGACUCCAUGGGACAUAGUGAAGGAAGCUUCAAAACCUACGCUACGUAUUACGUGAGGGAGAAUUACUGAAAACAAAAUGUUGCAUGUUAAAGAUCUGCCUCAGAGUGAAAGCUGUACAAAAACAAAUGGUACAAUAUGGAAUCAUUUGAGAACUCUUAUACCACAUGCUUGGCUCCAGUCUUGGAAUCAGCUCUUUACAAGCAAACCCCUGCACCUUUGUAGAUCCCCACUGACAUCACUGAGCACGCAGGCACAAGGAUCUGAUUGCAGGAAGAGUGUCCCCGUUCAAGAGAGGGACCAGAUACUGAUCAUCUCCAUUACAUCAGCAUAACCACAGAGUAACUUUCCAUUAAGUUGCUUUGGAUUUAAAUGAGUGUAACUGAGAUUGGAAUCUGACCACAUCUCUUAUUUCUGUAAAGCACUAUGAAAACUGUGGCACCGUAUAUUAUUAAUUAUAAAUUUCCUGGGACAAGAAGUUUAUUGUUAUAAGCCAUAUACUGACCAGAAGAGAACUCAUUAAGCAUAAAGACUCUGAUUCAGUAUCACUAGUUACCUUACUAAAGAUUUGAUAAACGCCCUCUAU